AAUUAUUCAUGUUUAGAGUAUUGAGUGUGUAGAAUCUUGUGUAGAAGAUAGGAUGUAUAGAGUACGUAUCAAAUUGAAGUAUAGCGUAUGUGUGGUAUUCAUGUAUAGUGUAUGUGGAAUUUAAGUAUAGAGUAUAUGUAGAAUUCAUGUAUAUAUUGUGUGUAGAAUUUAAGUAUAGAGUACGUAUAGAAAGUGUGUAGGGCCUUUACUGUUUUAUUUCAGCAGUAGAUGUGUGAAAUCAUUAUCGUGAUAAAGUAUAUCACAACACAGUCUACUGAGACAUCAGGGCUAUUUGUGUGUGUGUGUAAAGUCAGUGUCACAGAGAGUGUGUGUUUCAGUGUUGUGUAAAGUGCUUGUAAAAGUUUUAGGGACGUGUCUGUAGUGUAUGUAAAGGUUUUAGGGUCGUGUGUAUGUGUAAAGGUUUUAGGGUCCUGUGUGUGUGUAAAGGUUUUAGGGUCCUGUGUGUGUGUAAAGGUUUUAGGGUCCUGUGUGUGUGUGUAAAGGUUUUAGGGUCCUGUGUGUGUGUAAAGGUUUUAGGGUCCUGUGUGUGUGUGUAAAGGUUUUAGGGUCCUGUGUGUGUGUAAAGGUUUUAGGGUCCUGUGUGUGUGUAAAGGUUUUAGGGUCCUGUGUGUGUGUGUAAAGGUUUUAGGGUCCUGUGUGUGUGUGUAAAGGUUUUAGGGUCCUGUGUGUGUGUAAAGGUUUUAGGGUCCUGUGUGUGUGUGUAAAGGUUUUAGGGUCCUGUGUGUGUGUGUAAAGGUUUUAGGGUCCUGUGUGUGUGUGUAAAGGUUUUAGGGUCGUGUGUGUGUGUGUAAAGGUUUUAGGGUCGUGUGUGUGUGUGUAAAGGUUUUAGGGUCCUGUGUGUGUGUAAAGGUUUUAGGGUCGUGUGUGUGUGUAAAGGUUUUAGGGUCGUGUGUGUGUGUAAAGGUUUUAGGGUGUGUGUGUGUGUAAAGGUUUUAGGGUCGUGUGUGUGUGUGUGUAAAGGUUUUAGGGUCGUGUGUGUGUGUGUGUAAAGGUUUUAGGGUCGUGUGUGUGUGUGUGUGUGUGUGUAAAGGUUUUAGGGUCCUGUGUGUGUGUAAAGGUUUUAGGGUCCUGUGUGUGUGUGUAAAGGUUUUAGGGUCGUGUGUGUGUGUAAAGGUUUUAGGGUGUGUGUGUGUGUAAAGGUUUUAGGGUCGUGUGUGUGUAAAGGUUUUAGGGUCGUGUGUGUGUGUGUGUGUGUGUGUAAAGGUUUUAGGGUCCUGUGUGUGUGUAAAGGUUUUAGGGUCCUGUGUGUGUGUGUAAAGGUUUUAGGGUCGUGUGUGUGUGUAAAGGUUUUAGGGUCGUGUGUGUGUGUGUGUAAAGGUUUUAGGGUCGUGUGUGUGUGUGUGUGUGUGUGUGUGUGUAAAGGUUUUAGGGUCCUGUGUGUGUGUAAAGGUUUUAGGGUCCUGUGUGUGUGUGUAAAGGUUUUAGGGUCCUGUGUGUGUGUGUAAAGGUUUUAGGGUCGUGUGUGUGUGUAAAGGUUUUAGGGUGUGUGUGUGUGUAAAGGUUUUAGGGUCGUGUGUGUGUGUGUGUAAAGGUUUUAGGGUCGUGUGUGUGUGUGUGUGUGUGUGUGUAAAGGUUUUAGGGUCCUGUGUGUGUGUGUAAAGGUUUUAGGGUCCUGUGUGUGUGUGUAAAGGUUUUAGGGUCGUGUGUGUGUGUGUGUAAAGGUUUUAGGGUCGUGUGUGUGUGUGUGUGUAAAGGUUUUAGGGUCGUGUGUGUGUGUGUGUAAAGGUUUUAGGGUCGUGUGUGUGUGUGUGUGUAAAGGUUUUAGGGUCGUGUAUGUGUAAAGGUUUUAGGGUCGUGUGUGUGUGUAAAGGUUUUAGGGUCGUGUGUGUGUGUGUAAAGGUUUUAGGGUCAUGUGUGUGUGUGUAAAGGUUUUAGGGUCGUGUGUGUGUGUAAAGGUUUUAGGGUCGUGUGUGUGUGUGUAAAGGUUUUAGGGUCGUGUGUGUAAAUGUUUUAGGGUCGUGUGUGUGUAAAUGUUUUAGGGUCGUGUGUGUGUGUGUAAAGGUUUUAGGGUCGUGUGUGUGUGUGUAAAGGUUUUAGGGUCGUGUGUGUAAAUGUUUUAGGGUCGUGUGUGUGUAAAUGUUUUAGGGUCAUGUGUGUGUGUGUAAAGGUUUUAGGGUCGUGUGUGUGUGUAAAGGUUUUAGGGUCGUGUGUGUGUGUGUAAAGGUUUUAGGGUCGUGUGUGUGUGUGUAAAGGUUUUAGGGUCGUGUGUGUGUGUGUAAAGGUUUUAGGGUCGUGUGUGUGUGUGUGUGUAAAGGUUUUAGGGUCGUGUGUGUGUGUGUAAAGGUUUUAGGGUCGUGUGUGUGUGUGUGUAAAGGUUUUAGGGUCGUGUGUGUGUGUGUAAAGGUUUUAGGGUCGUGUGUGUGUGUGUGUGUAAAGGUUUUAGGGUCGUGUGUGUGUGUGUGUGUAAAGGUUUUAGGGUCGUGUGUGUGUGUGUGUGUAAAGGUUUUAGGGUCGUGUGUGUGUGUGUGUGUAAAGGUUUUAGGGUCGUGUGUGUGUGUGUGUGUAAAGGUUUUAGGGUCGUGUGUGUGUGUGUAAAGGUUUUAGGGUCGUGUGUGUGUGUGUGUGUAAAGGUUUUAGGGUCGUGUGUGUGUGUGUGUGUGUGUGUGUAAAGGUUUUAGGGUCGUGUGUGUGUGUGUGUGUGUAAAGGUUUUAGGGUCGUGUGUGUGUGUGUGUGUGUAAAGGUUUUAGGGUCGUGUGUGUGUGUGUGUGUAAAGGUUUUAGGGUCGUGUGUGUAAAUGUUUUAGGGUCGUGUUCAGCAUUCACCUGUAUGUGUUGCACGUGUGUGUGUAUGUGUGUGUGUUUUUGAGGGUCGCAUAUGUGUGUCUCUGUCUUAGUCGUCCCCAGUGACUCAAGCUUUCUGUGCUGACCUCACUUCCUGUUUCACCAUUUCCUGUUCUGUGCCGCUGCAUAGUGCCUUAUUUGGAGUUUCACAGAGCAGACACACACACACACACACACACUGAAUGGUGAAUGCUGGCGCCUCGUCUUCUAAACUCGCCCCAAAUUACUCCAGGAACUUCUCUCUCUCUCUCUCUCUCUCUCUCUAUCUAUCUCCCU